AUACGUAGGGAGCGAGCGUUGUCCGGAAUUACUGGGUGUAAAGGGUGCGUAGGCGGGGAUGCAAGUCAGAUGUGAAAUGUAUGGGCUCAACCCAUGAACUGCAUUUGAAACUGCAACUCUUGAGUGAGGUAGAGGUAAGCGGAAUUCCUAGUGUAGCGGUGAAAUGCGUAGAUAUUAGGAGGAACAUCGGUGGCGAAGGCGGCUUACUGGGCCUUUACUGACGCUGAGGCAUGAAAGCGUGGGGAGCAAACAGGAUUAGAUACCCUGGUAGUCCACGUUGUAAACGAUGAUGACUAGGUGUGGGGGGACUGAACCCUUCCGUGCCGCAGUUAACACAAUAAGUCAUCCACCUGGGGAGUACGACCGCAAGGUUGAAACUUAAAGGAAUUGACGGGG
rnacentral:rRNA from 1 species